rnacentral:rRNA from 1 species
AACAAACGCUGGCGGCGUGCCUAACACAUGCAAGUCGUACGAGAAAGGGUCCUUCGGGGCCUGAGUAAAGUGGCGCACGGGUGAGAAACGCGUGGAUAAUCUGCCCUUCAGUUGGGAAUAACUCAUCAAAAGGUGGGCUAAUACCGAAUAAUGCUGUGAGACCUCGGUUGAUCAGCCAAAGAGAGCCUCUGCUUGCAAGCCCUCGCUGAAGGAUGAGUCCGCGUACCAUUAGCUAGUUGGUAGGGUAAUGGCCUACCAAGGCGACGAUGGUUAGCUGGUCUGAGAGGAUGAUCAGCCACACUGGAACUGAGACACGGUCCAGACUCCUACGGGAGGCAGCAGUGAGGAAUCUUGCGCAAUGGGGGCAACCCUGACGCAGCAACGCCGCGUGAGUGAGGAAGGUCUUCGGAUCGUAAAGCUCUGUCGGAUGGAAAGAACCGCAUAGGGGUAAACAGCCCCUGUGUCUGACGGUACCAUCAAAGGAAGCACCGGCUAACUCCGUGCCAGCCGCCGCCGUAAGAC